rnacentral:lncRNA from 1 species
AUGAGUGUGAGUCCAGCUUGUCUCCAAAGCCUGCCUUAUUCUAAAGCAUCCAAUUCUAGGGACUCUUUCACCAAUGCCUGUGACUCGUGGCCCUGAUGAAAGUUAUCCAUCCUUGCAAAUGACAUAUGAGGAGGUGUCCCACUCAGAGGCUCUCUCAUCUUCCUUCCUCCGUGGAUCUAUUUAUUCAGGAAAGCUCUAAUUCUUCCACUAGUCCCAGAGUAAAACUACACAUUUCUGCAGAGAAGAGCACAGUGAAGAAUGAAGAUAAGAUCCAGGAGAAGAAACAGAAGACCAGAAUCAUGUUCUCUCCGGCCCAGCUGUGUGUAAUUAAUGAUGGAUUUCAGAGACAGAAACACCGCAGCCUCCAGCAGCUGCAAGAACUUUCCAAUACCCUGAAUCUUAGCUACAAACAGCAUACAAGCUAGUUACAGAGAAUGAAAGCUAAGAGGUGGUAGAAAGCCAACUGACCAAAGAAUAAGCAACAAUAUGACUCAGGGCUCAGCAUCUACAGAAUACCCAGGCCUCUACUCUUCCUACCACCAGGAAUGCCUGGGGAACACAUCUGGAAACCUUCCAGUGUGGAUCAACCAUUCCCAGAAAAGUCAGACUUGGCACCCAGAAGACUAGAACAACCAGUCCCGGAAAAAUCGGUUUCAUAACUGUGGGGAGGAAUCUUGGUAGUCCUGCAUGCAGCUCCAGCGAAAUUCUCCUGCCAGUUUUUGGAAGCUGUCUUGGAAACUGCUGGGGAAAGCUAUGAUGUAAUACAGCAAACCACUAAGUAUUUCAGUGCUUCACAAAUCAUAGGUUUAUUCCUAAAUUACUCCAUGAACAUGCAGCCUGAAAACG